rnacentral:rRNA from 1 species
UACGGAGGGGGCAAGCGUUGUUCGGAAUUACUGGGCGUAAAGGGCGCGCAGGCGGCUGCUCAAGUCAGGCGUGAAAGGCCUGGGCUCAACCCGGGAAUUGCGCUUGAGACUGGGCUGGCUUGAGUGCGGGAGAGGAUGGUGGAAUUCCCAGUGUAGAGGUGAAAUUCGUAGAUAUUGGGAAGAACACCGGUGGCGAAGGCGGCGUUCUGGACUGCAACUGACACUGAUGAACGAAAGCCAGGGGAGCAAACGGG